AGGCAGCAGUGAGGAAUAUUGGACAAUGGGCGCAAGCCUGAUCCAGCCAUGCCGCGUGCAGGAUGACGGUCCUAUGGAUUGUAAACUGCUUUUGUACAGGAAGAAACACCUCUACGUGUAGAGACUUGACGGUACUGUAAGAAUAAGGAUCGGCUAACUCCGUGCCAGCA
rnacentral:rRNA from 1 species